rnacentral:rRNA from 1 species
GAUAUCAGGAGGAACACCGGUGGCGAAGGCGGCCAUCUGGACAGUAACUGACGCUGAGGUACGAAAGCGUGGGUAGCAAACAGGAUUAGAUACCCUGGUAGUCCACGCUGUAAACGAUGGAUACUCGAUGUCGGGGCAUUGAGCUUCGGUGUCAAAGUUAACGCAUUAAGUAUCCCGCCUGGGGAGUACGGUCGCAAGGCUGAAACUCAAAGAAAUUGACGGGGGCCCGCACAAGCGGUGGAGUAUGUGGUUUAAUUCGAUGCAACGCGAAGAACCUUACCUGGACUUGACAUCCUGCGGAUCCCCUGGAGACAGGGGAGUGCCUUUCGGGGGAACCGCAAGAGGACAAGGUGGCUGCAUNGGCUGUCGUCAGCUCGUGCCGUGAGGUGUUGGGUUAAGUCCCGCAACGAGCGCAACCCCUAUUUUCAGUUGCCAUCACAUAAUGGUGGGCACUCUGGAGAGACUGCCCGGGUUAACCGGGAGGAAGGUGGGGACGACGUCAAGUCAUCAUGGCCCUUACGUCCAGGGCUACACACGUACUACAAUGGAGGGCACAAAGGGGAGCGAGACCGCGAGGUGGAGCGAAUCCCAGAAAACCCUUCCCAGUUCGGAUUGGAGUCUGCAACUCGACUCCAUGAAGUUGGAAUCGCUAGUAAUCCCGGAUCAGCAUGCCGGGUGAUACGUUCCCGGCAUGUACACACCGCCCGUCACACCACGAAAGUCGGUUCUACCCGA